rnacentral:piRNA from 1 species
AUAAAAAUGAAACUAAAUGCUGAA